ensembl:misc_RNA Metazoa_SRP Metazoan signal recognition particle RNA
GCUGGGCAUGGUGGCGCAUGCCUGUAAUCCCAGCUACUCAGGAGGCUGAGGCAGGAGAAUUGCCUGAACCCAGGAGGCGGAGGUUGCGGUGAGCCGAGAUCGCGCCAUUGCACUCCAGCCUGGGUAACAAGAGCAAAACUCUGCCUCAA